rnacentral:rRNA from 1 species
UACAGGGGAUGCAAGUGUUAUCCGGAAUUAUUGGGCGUAAAGCGUCUGCAGGUUGAUCUAUAAGUCUUUUGUCAAAUCUUUGGGCUUAACCCAAAAACAGCAAAAGAAACUAUUUAUCUUGAGUAUGGUAGAGGUAAGGGGAAUUUCGAGUGGAGCGGUGAAAUGCGUAGAUAUUCGAAAGAACACCAAUAGCGAAGGCACCUUACUGGGCCAUUACUGACACUCAGAGACGAAAGCUAGGGUAGCAAACGGG